rnacentral:lncRNA from 1 species
CCGAUGAACUUUCAUAACCAUGCUUUUUUCACAGUAUUGGAUGCCGCAAUAUAUUCCAUCUCACAAGUACAGUCGGUCAUGGUGUGCUACUAGCAAACUGCUCCACCGUUCAGGACAUAAACGUAUCCCAACAUGCUCUUGCUGUCAUCAUGAUCCAACUAAAAACUGGAGUCUAUAAAAUUCUAUAAAUUUUAAGUUGGAUUCUUUAUAAAUAAGCCAC